CACCGUGGGCCUUUGACUGAGCUGCAGGGAGGGAGAGAGAUGGACCCAGUCAGCCAGAAGGGUUGACCAUGGCACUUGGUCCUGUCUGUGAACUUGCAGGUGUGGAAAAUAAGGUUCAGUGAGGCGAUGGAUGCAUCGCAUAACGGAGUCUCACUCUGUUGCCCAGGCUGGAGUUCAAUGGUGCAAUGAUCUCGGCUCACUGCAACCUCCGCCUCUUGGGUGCAAGUAACUCUCCUGCCUCAGCCUCCCGAGUAGCUGGGAUUACAGCAAUGGUGAAAGGCAGUUUUCCUCGAAUGAGAGCAUCAGACAGGCAUGCCCGGGACCAGCUGUGGGAAUCCUGAGAGACAGACAUGAAGCACUUCACUUGGAAAUGCUUUCUUAGUCUUUCAAUUUAACAUUCAAAGGGAUGAGGGAUUUUUAUCAACAGCAGCCAGCUGCAAUGCAAAGUCAUGCUUUCUAGUCUCAGUUCAAAUGGACAUUUCCCUUAUUUUAGCCGUGCAUAUCACAGUCUCCAUUUUCAAGCCAAUUCUGGUUUAAAGGUGACCCUGCUCUUAAAAAUCAUUAAAUAAUAAGUGGUCUCACUCUAAUUUUUCAGCUUCUCUCUGACUUUACAACUCACUAAAAGGAAGGUUCUGCCUGCCGCCCGUGAGCUUCUAAAGAAUAAAGUGGAAUAAAAUUUGAAAAAAAAAAAAAAA
rnacentral:lncRNA from 1 species